GACGAACGCUGGCGGCGUGCUUCAUACAUGCAAGUCGAGCGGAAAGGCCCUUCGGGGUACUCGAGCGGCGAACGGGUGAGUAACACGUGAGCAAUCUGCCUUCAGCUCCGGGAUAACUCGUGGAAACAGGUGCUAAUACCGGAUACGACCUCGAAGGACAUCCUUUGAGGUGGAAAGUUUUUCGGCUGAAGAUGAGCUCGCGGCCUAUCAGCUUGUUGGCGGGGUAACGGCCCACCAAGGCGACGACGGGUAGCCGGCCUGAGAGGGCGACCGCCACACUGGGACGUGAGACACGGCCCACGACUCCUACGGGAGGGCUGCAGUCGCGAAUCAUUCACAAUGGGCGGCAAGCCUGAUGAUGCCACGCCG
rnacentral:rRNA from 1 species